rnacentral:rRNA from 1 species
ACGAACGCUGGCGGCGUGCUUCACCCAUGCAAGUCGCACGGUGAAGCGAGUGCUUGCACUCGUGGAUCAGUGGCGAACGGGUGAGUAACACGUGAGUAACCUGCCCAUCACUCUGGGAUAAGCACUGGAAACGGUGUCUAAUACUGGAUACGACCAACCCUUGCAUGGGGUGUUGGUGGAAAGAUUUAUCGGUGAUGGAUGGACUCGCGGCCUAUCAGCUUGUUGGCGGGGUAAUGGCCCACCAAGGCGACGACGGGUAGCCGGCCUGAGAGGGUGACCGGCCACACUGGGACUGAGACACGGCCCAGACUCCUACGGGAGGCAGCAGUGGGGAAUAUUGCACAAUGGGCGAAAGCCUGAUGCAGCGACGCCGCGUGAGGGAUGACGGCCUUCGGGUUGUAAACCUCUUUCAGCAGGGAAGAAGCGAAAGUGACGGUACCUGCAGAAGAAGCACCGGCUAACUACGUG